GAUGAACGCUGGCGGCGUGCCUAAUACAUGCAAGUCGAGCGAACGGACGAGAAGCUUGCUUCUCUGAUGUUAGCGGCGGACGGGUGAGUAACACGUGGAUAACCUACCUAUAAGACUGGGAUAACUUCGGGAAACCGGAGCUAAUACCGGAUGAUAUUUUGAACCGCAUGGUUCAAAAGUGAAAGACGGUCUUGCUGUCACUUAUAGAUGGAUCCGCGCUGCAUUAGCUAGUUGGUAAGGUAACGGCUUACCAAGGCAACGAUGCAUAGCCGACCUGAGAGGGGGUUCGCCCACAUGGGAACUGGGCCGCGGACCAACACCCGAGGGGUGGCAGAAGGAGGGAUGCUUCCGAAAAGGGGAAAAGCAGGCAGGAGCAACGCCGGGUGAGUGAAGGAGGUCUUGGGGUCGUAAAACUUUGUUAUUAGGGAAAACAAAUUGUGAAGGAAACUGUGCACCUUGUGACGGUCCCAAGAAAAAAAGCCGCGCCUAAUUACGU
rnacentral:rRNA from 1 species